UACGAAGGGGGCUAGCGUUGCUCGGAAUCACUGGGCAUAAAGCGCACGUAGGCGGCUUUCUAAGUCAGGGGUGAAAUCCUGGAGCUCAACUCCAGAACUGCCUUUGAUACUGGAGCUUGAGUCCGGGAGAGGUGAGUGGAACUCCGAGUGUAGAGGUGAAAUUCGAUAGAUAUUCGCAAGAACACCAGUGGCGAAGGCGGCUCACUGGCCCGGUACUGACGCUGAGGUGCGAAAGCGUGGGGAGCAAACAGG
rnacentral:rRNA from 1 species